GCGCAGGAAAAGAAACCAACAGGGAUUGCCCCAGUAACGGCGAGUGAAGCGGCAACAGCUCAAAUUUGAAAUCUGGCUUCGGCCCGAGUUGUAAUUUGCAGAGGAAGCUUUAGGCGCGGCACCAUCUGAGUCCCCUGGAACGGGGCGCCACAGAGGGUGAGAGCCCCGUAUAGAUGGACGCCUAGCCUGUGUAAAGCUCCUUCGACGAGUCGAGUAGUUUGGGAAUGCUGCUCUAAAUGGGAGGUAAAUUUCUUCUAAAGCUAAAUACCGGCCAGAGACCGAUAGCGCACAAGUAGAGUGAUCGAAAGAUGAAAAGCACUUUGAAAAGAGAGUUAAACAGCACGUGAAAUUGUUGAAAGGGAAGCGCUUGCGACCAGACUCGCCCACGGGGUUCAGCCGGCAUUCGUGCCGGUGUACUUCCCCGCGGGCGGGCCAGCGUCGGUUUGGGCGGCCGGUCAAAGGCCCUCGGAAUGUAACGCCCCCCGGGGCGUCUUAUAGCCGAGGGUGCCAUGCGGCCAGCCCAGACCGAGGAACGCGCUUCGGCUCGGACGCUGGCAUAAUGGUCGUAAGCGACCCGUCUUGAAACACGGACCAAGGAGUCUAACAUCUACGCGAGUGUUCGGGUGUCAAACCCGUGCGCGCAGUGAAAGCGAACGGAGGUGGGAACCCCUCGGGGUGCACCAUCGACCGAUCCUGAUGUUCUCGGAUGGAUUUGA
rnacentral:rRNA from 1 species